rnacentral:rRNA from 1 species
AGCCUGAUGGAGCACGCCGCGUGAGCGAAGAAGGUCUUCGGAUCGUAAAGCUCUGUUGUAAGGGAAGAACAAGUGCAGUAGUAACUGGCUGCACCUUGACGGUACCUUACUAGAAAGCCACGGCUAACUACGUGCCAGCAGCCGCGGUAAUA